UUUGUCGCUGUUUAUUCUUUUUUCUUUUGCCCUACCCAGGACUUCGCCUAAUGUGCCCCCAAUUAAGCAGAUUACUACCUUUGGAUUAACAGGACUUCCAUGAUGUGAAGUUUGUUCUCUUGUUGGUCUCCCAUAAUUCAUGUUCACUAAUUCUUUCCUCUGCAUGAUCAAGUCUGUGGUUGAAGCUCUCUGUUGAACUUUUUGAUUGUAUGCCAUAUUGUUCAGUUUCAGAAUUUCUGUGUUUCUCUUUUUCAUGGUUUUCUUUAUUAAACAUCUCAUUUCAUAUUUACAUUACUUACUUAAUUUCAUUUAGUUGUCUUUUUUUUCAUUUCAUUGAAUGUCUUUAAUAAAAUUAUUUUGAAAUAUUCACCAGGAAAAUUGUUGAUCUCCAUUCCUUUGGGACCUGUUACUGGAGCUUUAUAAGUUUCUUUUGGUCGUGUCAUAUUUACCUGAUCUUUCA